AACGCACGAGACCUGCGGACCUGCGGAAGGAUCAUUAAUGAGAAACUGCCCCUCGCGGGUAGAUCUCCCACCCUUUGUAAACUUACCUUUGUUGCUUUGGCAGGCCCGUCUCCGGACCGCCGGCUUCGGCUGGCCAGUGCCUGCCAGAGGAUUCUAAGACUCUGUCUGUCAGUGUUGUCUGAGUCUAUAUACAAUCGUUAAAACUUUCAACAACGGAUCUCUAGAUCGGAAGAGCACACG
rnacentral:misc_RNA from 1 species